CCCCACCUCGCCGGAGUCCCGCGCCCCCGUCCCCCGCCCCCUGCAGGCCCCCGCCCUCCCCGUCCCCCCGCCCCCACCUCGCCGGAGUCCCGGGCUCCCGGGGGGCGGGCGGGCGGCGGCGGCCGCGGCUCGGCGGCUCCCGGGGCGCUCCCCCUGGCGGGGGCGGGGGCGGGCGCCAGCUGCGCGGCCGUGACAGCUCCCCGUGCCAGCCCAGUGGCUCCCUGCCAUUGGCUCGGUGCGGCGGACCGGCGACGCCGCGCACUAUAACAGCCCUCAUGCCCGCCGGCCGCCGCGACUCCCGGGCCGCCGCCGCCGCCACUGCCGCCGCCACUGACGCGCUCGGGGCCCUGCGGCCGGCGGGGGGCGGGGGGCGGGGGGCAUGCGGGGGCGGGCGCGGGGGCGGGCGCGGGCGCGGGCGCGGGGGCGGGGGGGGGGGGGCGCGCGCGGCCGCGGGGCGGAGUGAGCGUGGCCCCCGGCGUGCGGGGCGGCGGCGGCGGCGGCGGCGGGGCCCCAGCGCCGGGCGGGAGGCGGCGGGGCCCCAUGGAGUGUUACUACAUUGUCAUCAGCUCCACGCGGCUCCGCAACGGACACUUUCGCAACAUCAAGGGAGUUUUCCGGGGCCCCCUCAGCAAGAACGGGACCAAAACUCUGAUGAACUGGUUAGUUUCGUGAAAAUUGAGAUGAAGAUCACCAAAAAAAAACCCCAAACAUCCAAAGACACGUGUGGAUAGGCAUUGCGUAACAUCAGAAAAAGAAUUAAAGGCCAUUCACAAUAAAGGCAGUGUCUUUAUUAAUGGGUAAAAUUACCUCGGG
rnacentral:lncRNA from 1 species